rnacentral:rRNA from 1 species
CAAUAAGUUACAAAAGGGCGUAUGGGGGAUGCCUAGGCUCUCAGAGGCGAAGAAGGACGUGACAAGCUGCGAAAAGCUGCGGGGAUUGGCACAUACGAAUUGAUCCGCAGAUAUCCGAAUGGGGCAACCCACUAUGUUGAAGACAUAGUAUCCCGACGUAAGUCGGGAGGCGAACCCGCUGAACUGAAACAUCUAAGUAGGCGGAGGAGAAGAAAACAAGAGUGAUUCCGAGAGUAGCGGCGAGCGAAAUCGGAACAGCCCAAACCAAUUGCGUUACGGCGCGGUUGGGGUUAUAGGACUACGAUAUAAGUUGUGCGAUGAAUCAGAACACGUUGGAAAGCGUGGCCAAAGAAGGUGAUAGCCCUGUACGAGUAAAGGACAUAAACUUUAGUAGUAUCCUGAGUAGGUCGGGACACGAGAAAUCCUGAUUGAAUUUGGCGGGACCAUCCGCUAAGGCUAAAUACUCCUGAGAGACCGAUAGUGAACCAGUACCGUGAGGGAAAGGUGAAAAGAACCGUGAAUAACGGAGUGAAAUAGAUCCUGAAACCAUACGCUUACAAGCGGUCGGAGUGUCCCGUUUACGGGAUAUGACGGCGUGCCUUUUGCAUAAUGAGCCUACGAGUUAACGUUACUGGCAAGGAUAAGUGCUUCAGGCAUGGAUCCGUAGCGAAAGCGAGUCUGAAUAGGGCGCAUAUCGAUAGAUAAGUCAGUAGUGUUAGACGCGAAACCGUGUGAUCUACCCAUGGACAGGUUGAAGCUGUGGUAACACACAGUGGAGGACCGAACCCGUUGACGUUGAAAAGUCUUGGGAUGAUCUGUGGGUAGGGGUGAAAGGCCAAUCAAACUCGGAAAUAGCUCGUACUCCCCGAAAUGCAUUUAGGUGCAGCGUUGUGAUAGUUUAUUAGAGGUAGAGCUACUGAUUGGAUGCGGGGGUUUCACCACCUACCAAUUCCUGACAAACUCCGAAUGCUAAUAAAUGCUUUACAGCAGUGAGGGCAUGGGUGCUAAGGUCCAUGUCCGAGAGGGAAAGAACCCGGACCAUCAGCUAAGGUCCCCAAAUGUAUGUUAAGUUGAAAAAACGAGGUUGAACUGCCCAGACAGCUAGGAUGUUGGCUUGGAAGCAGCCAUUCAUUUAAAGAGUGCGUAACAGCUCACUAGUCGAGCGGUUCGGCAUGGAUAAUAAUCGGGCAUAAACAUACUACCGAAGCUAUGGCAUCAACUUAGGUUGAUGGGUAGGGGAGCAUUCUAAACUGGGUAGAAGGUGAGCUGUAAGGCUUGCUGGACUGUUUAGAAAAGAAAAUGUAGGCAUAAGUAACGAUAAUGCGGGUGAGAAACCCGCACACCGAAAGACUAAGGUUUCCUCAGCUAUGCUAAUCAGCUGAGGGUUAGUCGGGGCCUAAGGCGUACCCAAAAGGGGAAGUCGAUGGACAACAGAUUAAUAUUUCUGUACUGCUUGUAGGAGUGAUGCGAAGACGGAGUGAUGAAAGUACCGCGUACUGACGGAAUAGUACGUUGAAGCAAUUAGCUAUAGGACAUGUAGGCAAAUCCGCAUGUUUUGGUGAUUUGCGAUAGUACCACAAGGCUUCGGCUGCGUGGAUAGUGUACCUAAGGGCUUCCAAGAAAAUUCGCUAAACAUAUGCUACAAGUACCCGUACCGUAAACCGACACAGGUGGUUGGGAAGAGAAUUCUAAGGUGCUCGAGAGAUUCAUGGCUAAGGAACUAGGCAAAAUAGACCUGUAACUUCGGGAGAAAGGUCGCCCCCGCUUAUGCGGGGGCCGCAGUGAAAAAGUCCAGGCGACUGUUUAUCAAAAACACAGGGCUCUGCAAAAUCGAAAGAUGAAGUAUAGGGCCUGACACCUGCCCGGUGCUGGAAGGUUAAGAGGAGAUGUUAGUUUAGGCGAAGCAUUGAAUUGAAGCCCCAGUAAACGGCGGCCGUAACUAUAACGGUCCUAAGGUAGCGAAAUUCCUUGUCGGGUAAGUUCCGACCUGCACGAAUGGUGUAACGAUCUGGACACUGUCUCAGCCAUGAGCUCGGUGAAAUUGUAGUAUCGGUGAAGAUGCCGAUUACCCGCAGUGGGACGAAAAGACCCUGUGCACCUUUACUAUAGCUUCGUAUUGACUUUGGAUAAGUGAUGUGUAGGAUAGGUGGGAGACUAUGAAGCGGCCUCGCUAGGGGUUGUGGAGUCAACCUUGAAAUACCACCCUUUGCUUGUCUAGAGCCUAACCCCGCAUAGCGGGGGACAAUGCGUGGUGGGUAGUUUGACUGGGGUGGUCGCCUCCAAAAGAGUAACGGAGGCUU